UACGUAGGGGGCUAGCGUUGUCCGGAUUUAUUGGGCGUAAAGAGCGUGUAGGCGGCCAGGUAGGUCUGCUGUGAAAACUCGAGGCUUAACCUCGAGAUGUCGGCGGAAACCAUCUGGCUAGAGUCCGGGAGAGGAGAGUGGAAUUCCUGGUGUAGCGGUGAAAUGCGCAGAUAUCAGGAAGAACACCCGUGGCGAAGGCGGCUCUCUGGGACGGUACUGACGCUGAGACGCGAAAGCGUGGGGAGCGAACAGG
rnacentral:rRNA from 1 species